rnacentral:rRNA from 2 species
UUGGAGGGCAAGUCUGGUGCCAGCAGCCGCGGUAAUUCCAGCUCCAAUAGCGUAUAUUAAAGUUGUUGCAGUUAAAAAGCUCGUAGUUGAAUUUCGGGAUCAAUAUUUCGGUCAUGCCGUUGGUAUGCACUGUUAUCAUUGAUUUCUCACCUUCUACAGAACCGUAAUGCCAUUAAUUUGGUGUUACGGGGAAUUAGGACUGUUACCUUGAAAAAAUUAGAGUGUUUAAAGCAGGCUCACGCUUGAAUACAUUAGCAUGGAAUAAUGAAAUAGGACAUCCGAUUCUAUUUUGUUGGUUUCUAGGAUCGAUGUAAUGAUUAAUAGGGAUAGUUGGGGGCAUUAGUAUUCAAUUGUCAGAGGUGAAAUUCUUGGAUUUAUUGAAGACUAACUACUGCGAAAGCAUUUGCCAAGGAUGUUUUCAUUAAUCAAGAACGAAAGUUAGGGGAUCGAAGACGAUCAGAUACCGUCGUAGUCUUAACCAUAAACUAUGCCGACUAGGGAUCGGAUGAUGUUAAUUUUUUAAUGACUCAUUCGGCGCCUUACGGGAAAC